AGAGUUUGAUCCUGGCUCAGAAUCAACGCUGGCGGCGUGCCUAACACAUGCAAGUCGCACGAGAAAGUGGAGCAAUCCAUGAGUAAAGUGGCGCACGGGUGUGUAACACGUGAAUUAUCUACCUCCGAGUGGGGAAUAACUGAGAGAAAUCUUAGCUAAUACCGCAUAACACUUACGAGUCAAAGCAGCAAUGCGCUUGGAGAGGAGUUCGCGGCCGAUUAGUUAGUUGGCGGGGUAAUGGCCCACCAAGACGAUGAUCGGUAUCCGGCCUGAGAGGGCGCACGGACACACUGGAACUGAAACACGGUCCAGACUCCUACGGGAGGCAGCAGUGGGGAAUUUUGCGCUAAUGGGGGAAACCCUGACGCAGCAACGCCGCGUGGAGGAUGAAAUAUCUUUGGUAUGUAAACUCCUUUCGAUGGG
rnacentral:rRNA from 1 species